rnacentral:ncRNA from 1 species
AAAAAAUUAUUAUAGUUUAAAAAUUUUAUUAUAAGUUUAUUUUACAUAUAAAUUUUAGUGUUAUUUUUAAAUUAUUUUAAUAAUAAUUUAUUUUUUAAGUAGUAAUUAAUAUUAAAUUAUUUAAGAAAUUAAGAUUUAGUAAUAUUUAAAUUAAUAACAAAUUUUGUGCCAGCAGUUGCGGUUAUACAAAAAUUAAAUUAAAUUUUAUUAGAUAUUAAUAAGUAAUUUAAUUUUAUAAUUAAAAUUUUAAAUUAUUAAGUGAAAUUUUAAUUUAAUAAAAUUUUAUAUUUUUAAUUAUUAUUUAAUAAAUUUUAUAAAAAACUAGGAUUAGAUACCCUAUUAUUAAAUUUUAAAUUAAAAUACUAAAAUAGUAGAUAAUUAUUUAUUGAAACUUAAAUAAUUUGGCGGUAUUUUAGUUCAUUUAGAGGAAUCUGUUUAAUAAUUGAUAUUCCACGAAUAAAUUUACUUAAUUUAUAAUUUUGUAUAUCGUUGUUAAAAAAAUAUUUUUAUAUAAAAAUAAUAUUUUAAAAUUAAUAUGAUAAAUUAAAUCAGAUCAAGAUGCAGAUUAUAAUUAAGAAUAUAAUGGAUUACAAUAAAUUUAUUUAAAUGAAUAUUAAUUUGUAAUAAUUAAUUGAAGGUGGAUUUAAAUGUAAUUUUAUUUAAUUUAAUAAAAUGAUUUAUAAUUAAAAUAUGUACAUAUUGCCCGUCGCUUUCAUAUAUUUAUAUAUUUAAAAAUAUAUUAAAAUUGAAAUAAGUCGUAACAAAGUAGAGGUACUGGAAAGUGUUUCUAGAAAGAA